GGUUCAGCGAGGUGUCAAUCUGCGCACAUCAGAAAUGGGUGUUUGAAGCCAGCCAAUGACUAGCCAGCACGGUUUUGAUGGAUGGAAGUGUUAGCCAACCAUAAGGACGUGUACAAUGAUUGACAGUUUGCAUAGUUUGCGUAACCAUGUUUACAGAAUAGCUCUGCGCAAAGUUCGUGUGUUUUCGUGCGCUUUCGGUUUACGCACGAAGCGUAACACAGAGCGGCGCCGCGGCGCUACACGGAGCGUUCAUCAGCGAGCAGAUGCUCUCCGAAGCUUGCAUCUGAAGCUCUCCAUCACGGAUCCACGACUUUAGGAGAGGUCCUGUGCUGUUUGAUGCUGUUUCGGAGGACGUGGGGAGAAACAUCGGCGAAGAGAGUAACAGACACGGAUGAGAUGCACGAGAUGCACGACAGGCAGAGAUAGCAUUAGCACUGGGUUUGGUGCGUCCAGUUGGUCAGAGAACAAACCUAUAGUGGCUGCCUUGAGUGUCUUCCUACACAGUAAAUACUGUAUCUGUUCUUCUUCGAGAGGUCAGAACUGUCCGUCUUGACUGCGCUUAUUUCACUCCUCCCCUCACUGCAGCGGCCUACUCUCACCUACACUUCAGGCGAGGCGAGGCGCAUCUCAAACAAGCCUACCCAGAUAGCAAAAUCCCAGCAAACAAUGGCGGUCCACCAGCGUUUUUUGGGCGGCACAAAUUCAGCGGCUUAAUACGGUCGGACCACCGUCGGCACACCAUCGGCUAGCCGACCAAUCUAACAACGCUGUCGCGUUUUUUGGGUGGCACGCCACCAGCGGUUUGCCGCGGCUGGGCCUCCGUCGGUGCACCAGUGGCAAGCGGAGGGUCUGUCCUGUUCUACUGAGCUCUUACAUGACACUUUGUUUUAUAAAUUAUAUAUAUAUAUAUAUUACAUUUAUGUUUUACAUUACAUUUUUACAGUUAGAAGGAAUCUGAAGCACUGAAUAAAAAUAGUGAGAGUUAUAAUUAUUAACAAAAGUUUAGUAUAAAAACUGCAAGCACAUUUUUAAAUGAAAUAAAUAGUUUGAAUGAUCGUAAAAAUAACAAUACAAUACAAUGCAAAAAAAAAAAAAAAAUCUAUAAAAAUUAAAUAAAAAUAAAAGUGCUACUUUGUCCCACUAUCACGUGCCGGUUGCAGUUUACACCUAUGUAUGAAUGGGUCAUAUAACUACAAAACGAUUAAAAUUCAAAAUUAAAUAUUUUUUGUUGUUGUUGUUUAUGUUCUAUAUAAAGUUUAUUUAAAUGGUGCGUGACUGUGACGUGUUUUGAUGGACGCGCGCUCCGAGUCUCAUUCAAACGCUGCAGGGAGGGAGUUACCAUGGAAACGGGGCGGCAACUCUCCAACUGACAGCUGCAACACUGCGUCUCUCGCUGCUGUGUUCACCGUCUUCAGGAGUAACACUUCUACAACAGAAGAGAAGCUCCAAGAUAUCUACAUUUCUGAAGGAAGCUGCUGACAGAGAUGUGGGAGACAUAGGGUGUGGCCAAAGGUUUCAUUGGUGCUUUGUCAUCACUGCAAGAUUUCAGAUGCAACCCAGUCAGUUCUUCCAAGGCACCAAACACCAGACCGCUUCACUGCAACUACGUACUGUGUGUACCUUCAAGACUAGGAGUUUAUUGUUUUCAUUCCAGGUAAUGUGUGUAAAUGUUUAGAGUGUUUACUACAAUUAAAAUGUGCUUUAUUGUUCUCAGUGGCAUCUACGCUUAUAUUAGUCUGUUUCAUUCUUAUUCCGAGGUCACCAUAGCCACCCAGAUCCAGUCCGUAUCCAGAUCAGAUGGUGGAUCAGCACCUAGAGACGACCUCUACAGCCCUGAAUAUCAGCGGAGACCAUGUCAGCUAGAUGAGCUCCAGAGACAGAUCCCCAGUGAAGACCUCGUUGGCCAUCGGGACAAGACCACGAGAACCAGACGAGUCCUCUGCUCAAUCUGACCUGUGCAGGAAUUAAACCGUGCCAUGCUGGUUACGUCUGGCCAGAGGCUUGCAAUCUAAAAACCUGUAGAACAAAUUGUAUUAUGCACUUUCUCCGCAGCAGUUCAGUCAGUGUCCUCCCUAGAUAUUUUUUUUUCAGAUCGUAUCAAACUACUUACUGUAUAUCGAUAUUAACGGUAUUGCUUCAUACCGUAUCGCUUAUAAAGAAUAUAUCGAUAUAUCGUACAAACUCGAUAUACCGCCCAGCCCUACUGUAACACCUGGUUUAUUUUUUAUUUUUGUGACUUCUGCCUCAUUUUAAAGAUGUAAUUGUGAACAGUAGUAAUAUUUGUAAAUGUUUGUUUGCUAACAUUUUGUUUAGCUUGUUUAGGUUUUUCUUAGUUCAUGAAAGUUUAAACUGAAUUUUGCAGUUGUAUUACAGAUGUAAUGUUUAUCAGCUGGAGCUUUAAAGGGAUAGUUCACCCAAAAAUGGAAAUUUGCUGUUAAUUUACUGACCCUUCGGCCAUCUGAGAUGUUUCCAUCCCAGUGUUACUACAGCUUGGAUCCAGCCUCACUUGUGGUGACUUCAGAUGAUGACCCAGAUGAUGGCAACUAUAGAUGAACAUAGCAACCUGACAAAUGUUAUGUAUUGUAAUCAUUGCCUUAAAGCAUACAUUGAGUGAUUUUCAACCCACUUUGUAUUGUUACUAUGAUGGUGAUAUAUGUGAAGGAACAAUGUUUAAUCUUUCUCUGAGUUCCAUGAGAUACACCCAUUUAUUUGUCAGCCAAAUAAUAUUUUGCAUUAUCCGAAUAUUGUUUAUUUACAUAUUACAGAGUUUGUGGCAGUAUAAAGUGAAAUUUAAAUUCACCAGACUUACCCUUUAAUGUUUGUCUGUUUAACUGAACAUGACUUUGAACACAUAACUUGUAUUAUCUUAGAGUUAUAGACAUUAAUUUGUUGCCAGACGAUGCUCCCCAUUGAGUCACAGUCACCUCAGGCUGUUGAUAGGAAUUUUUUUUGAAACCUUGACAUUUUCUAAAGCUGCUUUGAUUGUGAAAAGCAGUGUAGCCUUACAACAGUCAACCAUGUUUUUACUAUGGUAAAACUAGUAGAACCAUGAUAUCAAAACCUUAGUUUGAGAAAAACUAAAAACCCCUGAUUACUACAGACAUGAUUACUAAAGUAAUAUUUUAGUAAUGCUGGAGUAAAACUGUGGUAACCAUAGUUUUUGAAACCAUGGUGAAGUUUGUAGUUACUAUAGGUUUACUACUAUGCUGUAGUAAGACCAUGGUUAUGGCAGUUACUGUGAAUUUACUACAACAAUCAUAGUUAAACUAUGGUUAAUUUUGUGGUUGACUUUUGUAGGGGUACAAAUAUGUGAAUUGAAUGCUUCUAUUUGAAAGUCACAUUGGAUAAAACCAUCUGAUAAAUAUACUGUAUGCACUUGUAUGUUUAAUCUGUUCACUAAAAAUAAAUUUGCAAUUAUCAUUGUACAUUGUUUUUGAUCCAUUAUUGUGUGCAAGGAUAUUUUGGUUAGCGUAAUCGAACUGAUUAUGAACCACGGACCGACCGUGGACCGCCAGCAAACAGUAAUUAUAAACCA